CCCCUCAUAAUGGAGUGUGCACAGUAUACACUGAAGUGAAGAAAUUGGUGUGGUCUAGAAGGGUGGGGACUAAGGGCUUUAAAAUGAAAUAAAAGUGAUAUACAAAUGGGGACAAGAAAGAGAACUCAGAGUCUACUGAGCUGAGGAUACUCACUAAGGUAUUCUAUGCAGAAGGGUCAGGACAAUGAGGCAUGGGAGUAAACUCAAGUCAUGUGAUAGAUGAAAGAGAGUCACAAAAUGGUGGUGGAAGUGUGACAGAAAACAGAACUUAAGAAAACCACUCCUGGGCAUAUACCAAAAGAUGCUCCACCAUCCCACAAGGAUACUUACUCAACUAUGUUCACAGCAGCUUUAUUCAUAAAAGCCAGAAAUGGGAACCAUCCUAGAUAUCCCUCAGCUGAACAAUGAAUAAAGAAAAUGCGGUACUGUAGAGAGCGGCGCGGCGAAACAAAGAUGGCGCCGACAUCCAGCCUUGUCUGGAUAUAAACGACUUACUGCGCAUGUGCAGGCUUGUCCCCUUGCUAGGGCUCCCUCUAGUGGUGAACAGCGGUACUGCACAUGUGCGGUUUAUGCACCAGGUGUUAGUUGACCCUUAAUAUGCUAAUGAGGUGAUUCAUUCUCCGCCAAUCCCUGGAGGACAAGUAGUGGGGUGAUCCAAGCCCCACCAAUCCCUGAGAGAUAAUUAGCAUACUGUUGUCUAUAUAAGCCGAGCGAUUUUGCUGCUCGGGGUCCCUGUUCAAGAGAGCUGUAACACUAAGAAGAGCUGUAACACUGAGAAGAGCUGUAACACUAAGAAGAGCUGUAACACAGUAAAGGCUUGCUAGCAGAAGAAUCCUGUUGCCGCGCGUCGUUCUUGCUGGCGGGACAUUGGGCGCGCGACAAGUGGUGCCGAAACCCAGAAACCAACAUCGCCGGUGCCGAGGGGACCCUUCAGUGUGCUGAAGAGGAUUCAGAACUGCGAGAAGGUAAAAUAAAAGAAUCAAGAAAAUCCAAUUUGGGUACCUGAGCGUUUGACUCGAAGAUUGUCUUCUGCUCUUCCUGAAGAUGAGACUACGAACCCUACUAUUACUACUGGGAAUGGUAAUACAGGUUAAUUCGCUCACCCUAUGGGCUAUUGCCAGAUCCUGGCCAGUACCCAUGCCAGUUCAUAGCAAUUCUACUGUUUUGAGAAUAAGACUGGCAAGCAUAAUCUCUGGCCUUGGUUUCAAUGGGUGCUGUCCAAUGAGCAAGGGGCAUAUACAUCCCUGACCCCCUUUGCUAGGUUGAUGGGUGAGAACUUCGUGCUGUAUAAUGUUUCAGCUACCAGAAAAAAUGAUACCAGGUUGACCAAUAUAAUAACCUCUUGGCAAAUAAUACUGCCACUAGUACUUCAGUAUGUGUUAGAUCACCUUUUUUCUUUCUGAUAAGCACUAAUGUCAGCAGUGGUGUUUUAAAUUGUAAUAGCUCUGAUGUAGUCUGCUAUUUAGCUGAAUGCUGGGAUGGCACUAAUGACACCGCAGUGAUGGUUAAGAUUCCCUCCUUUGUGCCAAUCCCAGUGGAGGCAAACCCAGAUAGCUUUCAUAUUCUUAAUUUGCAGAGAGCCAAAAGAGAUUUUGGAAUUACGGCAGCCAUAAUUUCAGCCAUUGUGCUGUCUGCUGCCGCAGCUACCACAGCUGAAAUCGCUAUGACCAAUCAAAUACAGACGGCUAAGACUGUCAAUCAGAUUGUAUAAAGAACUGCACUGGCGCUAGAGAUACAAGAAGAAUUUAAUACCCAUUUGCCAUCUGGCCUUCUAUUAGCCAAUCAAAGGAUAGAUUUAGUUCAAGAACAAAUUGAAGCACUGUAUCAUAUGACACAGCUGUCUUGUGUUUCCUCCCUUAGAGGUUUAUGCAUUGUUCUUUUGCGAGCUAACUUUUCUCAGCAUUUUCAACAGAGCAAAGAAAUCUCGAAUUACCUGAAAGGAAACUGGUCCAUGAAAGCAGAGCAACUAUCAAGACAAUUGCUGAUGCAGAUAGCUGUCCUCAACAGCACUAGUCUGGACCCCAUCACAGUUGAAGACUUUACCUCAUGGAUUACCAAUGCUUUCUCCCUUGUUAAGGAGUGGGCGGGCAUGUUUGUCCUGGGGAGCUAUUGUCCUCCUGGGAUGCGGAGUAGGUCUCUGGCUUAUUGGCCGUUUAAAAAGAGAACAUGCCAGACACAAAGUGGUUGUUUACCAGGCUAUGACCACCAUUAAAAAAGGUGCUUCUCCCAACAUAUGGCUGGCCUCUUUGAAAGAUCAAGAGUUCGCCCUAGAUCAUUUUUGUCACAGUCAUGUGGGGUCAUUGUAUCCAGGGACGGGCAACUUUCCUCGAACUCGGACCAACCUAAGACACGGGGCCCGGUGGCGAUAGGGUAACUCUUUGAUGGGUAAGGCCGAGUUUGGAUGAGAACGACCUAAGACAGGAGCAAUGACAAGAUUGACGUGACACCCAGAUCUAGACCAGUCAUUUUAUUAAACAAAAAAGGGGGAGAUGUAGAGAGCGGCGCGGCGAAACAAAGAUGGCGCCGACAUCCAGCCUUGUCUGGAUAUAAACGACUUACUGCGCGUGUGCAGGCUUGUCCUCUUGCUAGGGCUCCCUCUAGUGGUGAACAGCGGUACUGCACAUGUGCGGUUUAUGCACCAGGUGUCAGUUGACCGUUAAUAUGCUAAUGAGGUGAUUCAUUCUCCGCCAAUCCCUGGAGGACAAGUAGUGGGGUGAUCCAUGCCCCACCAAUCCCUGAGAGAUAAUUAGCAUACUGUUGUGUAUAUAAGUCGAGCGACUUUGCUGCUCGAGGUCCCUGUUCAAGAGAGCUGUAACACUGAGAAGAGCUGUAACACUAAGAAGAGCUGUAACACAGUAAAGGCUUGCUCGCAGAAGAAUCCUGUUGCCGCGCGUCGUUCUUGCUGGCGGGACAUUGGGCGCUCGACACGGUACAUCUACACAAUUCAGCUAUUAAAAACAAAGACAUCAUGAAUUUUGCAGACAAUGGAGAGAACAUGAGAAUAUCAUCCUGAAUGAGGUAACCCAGUUCCAAAAGGACAUGCAUGGUAUGUACUCACUUAUAAGUGGAUAUUAGCCAUAAAAUACAGGAUAUCCAUACUACACUCCACAGACCCAAAGAAGCUAAACAAGAAGGAAGGCACUAGCAAGGAUGCUUGAAUUUCACUUAGAAGGGGGAAGAAAUAGUCGUAAGAAGAAAAUGGAGGGGGAACUGGGAAGGAAAGGGUAUAGGGAAGGGAAUGUGAAGGUUCAGGAACAGGUAUGGAGAACAACAGGAGAGAUAGUCAGAUGGACAUGAUAAUGAAUAGAAAUCUACAAAGAUAGGGGUGGGGACAUGGGGGGCAUAUCCAGGACAAGGCAGAGCCCUGGGAUAAGGGAGGUGCCAAAGAAUCAGUGGGGGUUACUAUAGCUGUGACUCACUACACUGGGGAUAUGGAACUUGAAGAGGCCACCUCCUGUAGGCAGGCAGGAACCCCAGGGGAGUGAUAGAGACUCCAACUCACCCACAAGACUUUCAACCCAAAAUCUAUCCUAUCUACAAGAAAUGCAGGCACAGGGGAUGGAGGAAAGACUGAAAGAACUGCCAACUAAUAACUGGCCCAACUUGAGACCCAUCCCAUUGGCAAGCAUGAAUCACUACUAGUGAUACUCUGUUAUGCUUACAGACAAGACCCUAGCAUGUCUGGCCUCAAAGAGGCUCCAUCCAGCAGCUGACUUAGAUGCAGACACACAUAGUCAAACAGUGCAUGAAACUUGCUGACUUUUAUGGAAGAACAGGAAGAAGGAUUAUGGGCCAUGAAGGGGAUAGGAACUCCACAAGAAGACCAACAGAUUCAACUAACCUGGACACUUGGGGCUCUCAGAGUCUGAAUCACCAACCAAGGAAUAUACAUGGGCUGGACCUAGGCCUCCAGCACAUGUAGAGCAGGAAUGCACCUUUGCCUUCACAUGGUCCUGAACAACUGGAGUGGGGCUGUCCCAAAAGCUGUUGCCUGAACAUGAGACAUGUUCUUCUUCCUGGACUGCCUUGUUUAGCCUCAGUGGGAGAGGAAGUGCCUAGCCUUGCAGAGACUUGAAGUGUCAGAUUAGGGGGAUACCUAGGAGACCCCACCCACUAAGAGAAGGGGAGGAGAAAUGAAGGGAGGAUUGUGGGAGGGGGUGACCAGGAGGGGUACAGUGAGAGAGAUAUAAAGUGAAUAAAUAAAAAAUAAAAAAAAUAUUUUUUAAAAAGAAGAAGUAAACAACUGGGAUACAUGGAAGGCCUUGGUGUGCAAUAGAUGCCGCCGUUCUUUGUGUCAGCUAAACUAAGGAGAGCCAGGCAGAUGGGCCAUCACACCAGUAUUUUUACUCUUGAAGGCAGUUUAGCAUCAAGAGAGUAGCCCAAAAUUCAGAGACUUAAGCAGCACUUGUAAGCUAGAUAACAUAUACCACAGACCGGAAACAAUCAAUCAAAAGGACUAUGGGGUUGGGAAGCAGGAAACAGACCUGGCAAAUACUGUAGAUGAACAAUCAGAGUUAAUAGAGAAGACAAUAAAAAAUGAUGGUAUGAGCUUUGACCACAUAUGACUUAGACAGUGAUAAAUAAGGAAGGUAUUUUGGAGUAGAUCAGAUUUUUCUUAAUACAUUGAAUUGGAAGCCAUUCUGAAACACAAAUGGUUAAUAAUGUUAAACAGAAGGUAAAGCUAAUAACUGAUACAACUGGGGGAAGUUGAAAUUUCUAAAUCCAUACAGAAGCCAAAGAAAUACCAUGGGGCCAGAUCUAUGUAAAGAGAACUCAAAGCUACAUAAAGGACAGAAAGAAAUGUCAAUCAAUUCAGAAAGAUAUGUAAAUAUGAAUAUAGUCAGGAAGUAAUUUGUUUAAAGUCAUUAAUUCUCUAAUUAGUCUGUACAUUUAAUGCAAAUCUAAUAAAAACAACAUACAAUAUAGUUCUGUGAAGCUUAAUGAAAUUAUUCUAGAGUCAUUUAAAUUAUGAUCUUAGAAUAGUUGUUCUAAAAAAGUAAAGGAGACCCUGACUUAGAGGUUAUUGAAAUAUGUCAUAAAAACACAGUAAUGUAUUGCUAACUUAUAUGUAGAAAAUGUAUUAGAUUGGGAAGUCCAAAACAGAUGUAAGCAUGUGCGAUUAUGUUAAAUAAGAAAACCCACCUCAAAUCAAGAUGUAAAGGGAUAACCGAAGGAGCGACACCAGCGAAAGGAUUUUCUUUUGAGAUGUGUUGAAGAUGGUGGAAGACACCCAAGCUUUUCAUACACAGACAGAACGAUCCUAAUGACAGCGAUAACAAAUUUUCAUUGGAAUCCAGAAAAGCCAUGGACUUAAGGGAUCCAUGGAUUUUUAAUAGGAGGUGGGUCAAAGUUGAAACCAAUGACCACAGUGAAAUGAAGCCUUCACCGAGGAAGUACCCAGAAGCACUUAGUGAUGAUAGAGAUUGCUCUUAAGAGCAGAUGGUUUGGGCCUGGCAAGAUGACUGUUAGACAGAGGCAUUUCCCGUCAAGCGUGACAACGUGAGCUCAACCCCUGAAGGACCCUUAUGUUGGGAGAAUUUCCUCCUGGAAGUUCUCUUCUGCUUCUACACAUAGCAUGUAAGUACAUAUACAAACACAUGCACACGCAUAUACACAUGUGCAUGAAUACACACAAAUAUACACAUAAAGAAAUGUAUAAUUUUCUUUUAAAAAGAGCAGCCGAUUUGGAAUCUGACUCACUGGAAACAAAGAAAUAGCAAAGUCAAAAAAAAUUAAUAAUGAAGUUUACUGUCAGAGUAAGCUUGCCAAGUUUUAGAUUUCUGCACUGUCUGUUCAGAAAAAUGGCAUAAAUUGGAUUGUAAUGAAAACAGCUAGCCAAUAAUUCUGCAGGUCAGUAAUGCUGGCUCUGAAGCUCCAAGAAAAGUGCCAAAGACCUGAGGAGAGAGCCUCCAUUAUUAUGGAAGGGCAGAGGCAUGGAAGGAAAAAAGUGACAGCUAAAUGUUAUGACCUUUAAAUUAGGUUUAAAACAUUACGUCAAGUACCUGUGAAUCAAUGAAUAUUGUAGAAAUCACUAGAAAAGCUCCUGGCUGUGUUUCACUUCCCAGUUUCUUACAUGGUAAGACUCAGAACAACUGACUUCCUGGGUCUGUUGGUUCUCGCCUUUAGACUGGACAUUGUAUGAGAGCAUCUCUCUGGCUCUGGGCAAGGCACUAAUUCAUGGUAUCCACACACCGUAUGCCACAUGCCGUCAGAAUUUUCAGUAUGGUCUGCUAUUUAUAAAUGAUAAAAGGUCUAGGUGUGCUUGUUACACUUCAGUUAUUAAUCUACUGCAAUUCUUCCUUAAACUGAGUAAGCAGAGUGCACCAAUGUCUUCAAAGGCCUCACAGCCCCCACCCCCACCCCAGUCCAGUCCCAGGUCUAGACUGAGCCAAGUGAACAGCCGUCCACAGUAAGCGAUGUCUAGGGAAGUGGCAUGAUGGAAAGAAUGAGAGCUACCCUCAAAGAGGAGAAGAGACGCUUACAGCAAUAUGAGGACAAUGACAGAUUUGCCACACAUGACAGACUUCUGUUUGACCUUUGGAAUGAAUCAAUGUCACUGUCCCUAAAUGGUUAGUUUCUGUGUAUUCUAAGAGUCUAUAUCUAUGAGUGAGUCCUCACUCUUUGACAAAUGGUGCAGAGUUCAAAACAGGUAGCAAAGAAAGAUAUACUUAGCUUCUGAAACUGUCUUCAAGAACAAUGUCUUUAAGAUCGUGGACUCUGACUCUUUAUUUUUGUAAUAAUGUAGAAAAAAAGAGAAAAUAUUUACCAGCUACUACUCAUUGUUGAAUUUGCUUCUGCUCUCUCCGUCACUCUGCUCUGCAAUGCUGUCUGAGAGGAAUGCACUCAGCUUAUGACUGACUUAUGGUAGAGGGCUGGUUGUCAGUCGUGAGAGUGAAGAGUGACUGUCAAGCGUACUCUUAUUUGCUGCUGUGUCACCUCAGGUGUUGGUGAGCCUGCAAAUUUUCUGUGAAAAAAUAACUUUUCCUAGAUAGAUUUAAGUGGCUCUACUCUAUAGAAGCCUUAUUUGACUAUCUAUAGAAGGCAUAUUUGACUAUCAAAAGGUAAACUAUUUAACAUGUACAGUUUGACAUACAUGGGCAUGUAUCCAUUAAAUGUCCACCACAAUCGAGUGCUCUGUAUCUGUUUGGUCCAAAUACCCUUUCUCUAAAGGAUAAACGCUUUGCUUGAGUGUCAAGAGCAAUCAAGUGAAAACCAUGAUCUGAGAGUUACGCUUCAUGGUUAUACUUCCACUUUUACCUCUGCUUCAUGGCGUCUCAGGAAUCUAGCUUUGUGGGGGAAUAUGGUAAUGAGGCAGGAACUGUGAGUAAGGGCUGAAGUCUAGCAGUCUGGGAAGCCAUGUUUUAAACCCUCCUUUAUUGUAAUUUCUUUUUUUCAAAACUAAGUACAUUUUCAGUGUUAACAUUAAACAUUCCUGCCUAUUGGUAGCAAAGCUCUUUAGGCAUACUGUCUCCUGCUGCCACUCCCCCAUUAGACAGCAGUUGCCAACAGCUCCUUGGCUAAGAGUGGGACUUCAUUCAUGCUCGUCUCUGCUCCCCAUGCUGUGUUCACCCUGGCUUGUGCUUACACAGGGCUCAUGCAUGCUGCCAUAGCCUCCAUGAGUUCAUAUGUGCAGCUGUUCUACUGUGUCCAGAGGUCACUGUUUCCCAGUGUUCAUUCUACCUCUGACUCGCAGGGUUUACUUCUGCCUCCUCUUCUAUGAUGGCCCCUGCACCUUGAGAAGAGUGAUACAGUCCAGAUGUUCCAUUUAGGGCUGAGUGUUCUGCAGUCCCUUAAAUCUCUGUAUCUUGCCGGUUGUGUGUCUCUGCAUUAGCUGCCACUCCAGUUCUUCUCCAAUGAGUGUGGUGAUAGGAACGAUCUAUGGGAAUAAUGCUAGGUCAUCAGGAGUCCAUUUAAUACUGCCCUUAGCAGAAAAAUAAUAGUAGACAGCCAUAAAUUCAUGAAUAUACGGCAGCACACAUUGAACUUGGUGUGUGAAAAAGCAAACACAUGAGGAGACACAAAGUUGUUGAGAUUGAAGAGAAAGUGGAUAAGAAUAGGGAGGGUGAAUACAAUCAACUCUCAACUUACCGUACACAAUUUUCACUAAUAAAAAUGUGAAAAAACACUGCUGCUUAUGUUUGCUCUUUUUGUUUCUGUUUUAAUUUUCAGUCAUAUUAAGAUGAAGUUUUAUCUUCGUCAAAUUAUGAAAUGGAUUAAAUUUGAUUCUGGUUCACUCUUCAAAUGGUGUUAGGUGUUAGGUACACAGCCACACAUAUGGGAGUAUGCAGCAGGGUCAGGGUUCCUGACCUAUACAGCCAACGUCUGUGAGCAAAUGUAAAGUUACCCUGGAACUGAACCCAAUAAGCAGCCUGGACAAACAGAGAAACAGUGGGCAGCCAGGCUCUCAAGCCUAGCAGAUCUGCCUCCAGUCCUAAGGCCUUCCAGUACGGUGCUCACUUCCAUAAACUCCCUUCUCUAAAGACAAGAUCGCCUGGCCUUCUAAAUCAAAUUUUUUUAAAAACCAAGACAUAAACUCAGCACUAAAGAUAACUAGUGAGUAACAACAUAAAUGCAAAUACUUUUAUGGAAUAAAUGAUGCUCAUUCUUCUCAUAAAUUACUUCUACAUCUACCUAGGCUUUGGGAAGAAUACAGUGGAUAUUCUUCUAAACAUAAGAUCCAACAGACAUUUUUAAGGUUGCCCAACUAGAGAUUUUACCAUCAAAUUGACAUUAUUCUUUUCACAGUAUUCAGAAGGAGAUAAAUAUUGAAAACAGGACUGCGAAAUCCAUGCUCCUCUCUCAAGUUGAUGUUACUGCAAGACAAACAGAACAAAAAGUAGUCACAGUGGAGGGGCUUCUCCUUUGCUCUCUCAGUUCCACAUGUAGGUUUUAAUGUCUAAAACUUGCCAUGGAGAUUUCUCUCUGCUCAACAGCAAAAACCAACACGUUAACUUUUUCAUCUUAUUUUCCUUCAUAUAAAAAGAAAACACAGAAGCAAAAUAAUGUAUCAGCAAAAAUACAGGAACUGGUCAAGUUGUUGGCAGGUGUGAAGUUACAUAAACAAUCAGAGGGAACUAAUCUCAUAAUGUUACAUUGUUUCAGAAUCCUACAAAAGUGAUUAUAUAUUAAAAAGAUUCCUAGAACAAAAAAUACUAACAAAUCCAACUUCUUUUAAAAGUUUUAUCAUAUUUCUUUAUGGACUUUUGCAUUUAUUAUGACACAGGGAUGUGUUAUGAUGUGCACCAUAUGAGUAUGCCGAGGACAGAGGAUGACGUGAAGGAGUUUUCUUUCUGUUGUAUAGGUUCUGGGGAUGGAGCUCAGGUCAUCAGGCCCCCUGGCCCCUACACAUCAUAAGCCAUCUCACUGGCCCAGUGAAUUUUACUAGAAACUUUAAUAGCAGAUUUGGAGGGAAAGAUUACCACUUUUUUCCUUCAUCUUAAAAUGUUAUUUAAUGAGCAUAUAUGAUUAAAAAGGCAAAGUAGUUGACAUUUUUCUGAAUCAUCUCUAUAUGUGCUUCUCCAAUAGUGAAGGGAAGGAGAGCAUCUUAUUCUGGGCCUGUGUUGUCGUCUAAAACAGUAGCAACUAAGAAGUAGCAAUUUAAAUUUAAGUAAAAUCUAGUUUUUCAGUAACACUGACUACUCAGUCAUCAUCAAUGACUACAUAAGACACAAAGUAGAAUGUCUUCAACAUUAAAGAUGCCAUUGGAAAGAGCUGCCUUUUAAAAACUGAUACCAGUUGACCUACAGGGAAAAAAUUUUCUUGUCUAUGCUAAACCAGCAAUCUCAGAUCAUUAAGGAGGACUGUACUAAAGAAGGGAAUGCGGUCAUGGCUAAUGAGAAAGUGUGUCCUAAAUCAUAUGUGUUUGGGCUAGUGACUAUGGUGGAUGCUAUUUCCAGCAUCUAGUACAUUCACACAAACGUCACAUUUUAAAGGUUUGUGAACUUGAAAAAAACUAGAAUUUACUAUAAAAUGAGUGCUACUAGCAUCUAUCCUUCCUAGACAGUGUGUGUGUGUGUGUGUGUGUGUGUGUGUGUGUGUGUGUGUGCGUGCGUGUGUGUGAGUGUGUGUGUAUGUGUGUGUCUUUGUCUUGGGGAAACAGAAAGGGAAGAAACAAAAUAAGAAUUUGAGAAAAAUACAAUAUUUUUUUCUGGAAAAUAAGUCAAAGGAGUAAGUUCUUUUAAGAAAUUAGCACCUGAAACAAUAACAAAAUCCCGUAAGAUGAGAAUUUAGGAACAAAAUCCCACCCUGCUGUAUUUGAGAAGGAACUGGGUGAAGCGGUAAUGAUACAACUCACAAGCUAAUAGUAAAGGGAAGCUCGAGCUACAACACUUGUGCAGCUGAUAUUUCAUUACAGAUUACACAUUCCCUAUUAGGAUGUUUAUUUAAUAUUCUUGAUUUAUCCUCAUCAUUGGAAGAAGAUGUUCCAGUCAAUUUAAAAUUAAUAGACUGCCUUCCGUUUGAAUAUGCAGGCCAGAUUUUACUGAUGUGGUGUGAGUGCCACAAAAGACCAAUUAUCUCUGCUGAAGUAUGCUGAGAUCCUCGGGCCUUCUUCAAUGUUUUCUACCCUUGAGAUUCAAAACUGAACUUUUCUGCCAAGAAAAUUGAGACAGCAUAAAUUGCAGGCAUUAAGAAUUAAGCUGCACUAAAAGUAUUCCAGUUUUUCAUGGCUUUCUAUACAAUUCAAAAAUUAUAUCUACUUUUCAAGGUCACUAAAUAUUUCAUAAAGUUAAGGAUCCCAUCUCCAUAGUAAUUAAUAUCACUGGAUAACUGUUAUUAAGUAAAUGCUACACCAUAUUCCUUAAUGUUGACUUAGAGAUGCAGGGCAGCUAGAAAAACAAGCCUAGCUCCUGGGGUCAGAGGUCGGGAACUUAUUAUUACUUCUGUUGAUUCUAUAAAGCUGUUUGCACAUAUAUAAACGAAGCAUGCAGAAUAAUGUGUGCAUUAUUAGGUCACCUUUGCUGCAGAACACAGGAAGGUUGCUUUUCAUAGACUGUGGUCAAUGUUAGCAGGGAAAAUUACUUGAAACAGAGCCAGAGACAAGCAUCUUAUGAUUUUAAAAAAGAGAGCAUAAUAAGAUGGUCUCCCCAUAGAUCUAGCAAUGUAAACACACAGAUGUAACAUAUAUAAUUAUUUAUUUUAGCAAAAGAUGCUUAUAAAAAGAAUAUCUUAAAAUUUAAAAGAUAAUCAACUUUUAAUAUGAAAUAUAGGUUUUGGAUUUAUGACACUUGCGCCUAUCAUAUUAAGUACCAUGUCCAGAAGUCCUUCUGCCACUUUUAAAAUCAGACCCCAACACUGCCUUGUUGUGUGUUUACUCAAAUUACUUUUCUCCUCUUGGUGCCAAUGCUCUCCUGUCUAGGAUGUGAGUGAUGUGCCCACUGCACAGUGCUGUUGGAGAGAUAGAAUGUGCAGUGCCCAUGUGGACUGUGAAAGCUAGAUGUACAUUUAGCUGUUGCUGUCCUCUUUGUUUCACACUGGGUAAUGUAGACUGUUGGAAGUAUACUGUUGGCCAGACACGUAUAACGUGCUUACAUUUUUCCACUUUUAAUUAAUAAAGAAGCUAUUAGCAAGAAUUAAUAUCUCUUCAAUAUUCCAGAAAUGUGUAUGAAUAUUAAAAACUACACUACAUAAUUUUAAACGGCAAUUUGAAUAGAAAUAUCCAGCAUGUGUUAACAAUGCUAUUCCCAAAACACAAAAUUUAUUAAAUGAAAAUCUCAGUGCCAGGCACAGGAUACCUCCCCAAGAGUUACUUGUCAGGGAGGCCUCAGAGAUAUCCAAUAUAACACAGGCUGUUGUCUGUCCACCAGAACUAGAUGGUAAGACCCUAUUCUGAAAGAUACCACUCAAUUUGGAAACGGAACAUAGAGAAAUAUAUCUUGAGUUGACUAGAAAACUGUUUCUGCUUACCUUACAUGGUUCAGGAAGGUACCAUGAAGGCAGCUGCAGGAGAAAAGGCACCAGUGAUUGUAUGCAGUUUUGACCAAGCAUACUACCACAUAGAGCUUUGAGCUACUGGCAAGAUGUGCCCACUGGUAUACCAGUGGCAUGAAAGUUACAAGGACUUUUAAGGCAUGCUUCACAGGAAGAACCUCACACCUGGUAUUGUAAACUUUGUCAAAAACCUGAACUGGGGAGAUCAUAGGCCUUUGCAGUGACCUUCUGUUAUUGUUAAAUUAAUCAUACUGUUAAACUGUAUUCCAAAUAUUUAUUUUUAUGCCCAUAUACUUUCACUGCUCUCAACUUAGGUCAGAGAAACUUCUCUUUAUAGUAGGUACAGCUAAUGAAGAAGCCUGUAACUCUUCAAAGUGCCAAUUUUGAGUAAGUUGAUUUUCAUCUGUGUGUACUCAUCUGUAUCAAACUCUCCCAGCAAGGCCCCGAGAACAUUGUAAAAGAAGGAAUGUAAGUACAUAUGGACAGGGAAAGAGCUGUGAAGCCAACUUCUUAGACAUUCUGUGGCUCGUACCAACUCCCAGAAGCUGUGGUUAUCUAUACAAGAUCAAGCCAGUUAAAGUCCACUGCAUCAGGAAGGAUCACCAGAGGCCUCAUCCCUACCAGAGGAGCUAAUUGACAAUUGACAACUGUCAAAGAAAGGAGAGUUAUUCUCCUUUGGGGAUGUGGCUACUGGUAUGUUGCUCAGGUCCCAAUGGAUGGCCACACACUUAUGUGCAUAUGGGCAGCACAAAUUAGAUUCAGGGAGUUAUUAGUAACAAGAAGAUAAAAGAGGACAUGAAGCUGGGAGGGAAAUGGGCUGGGAAUACCAGAGGUUAAAAGGGGUAGUAGUGGAUAGAUAUGAUCAUUAUGCCUAUAUAAUCACACAGAACCCCAAAUAAUAAAAAUGAGGUCAUUAGAAAAAUGAAGCUACACAAAUCCCCAUACAUCUUUACCACUUUCGUAAGGAACUAUGAUGCUUAGGGUUUUGUUGUCAACUUGUCACAGCAGGAUAUCUGUGAAGAAGGAGCCUCAACUGAGAAAAUGUCUCCAUAAGACUGGCCUGUAGGCAAGUCUAUAGGAGCGUUUUCAAGACUAAUAGGGCUGUGGAAGGGCCCAGCAGACAAUAGGUGAUGCAGCUCUUGGCAAAUAAUCCUGGGUUGUAUAAGAAGGGAAGCUAAGCAAGCCACAGAGAGCGAGCCUAUCAGCAGUGCCCUCCCUUGGUUCCACUUCAGUUCCCAUCUCCAAGCUCCUUCCUUGGGUUCCUGUCCUGACUUCCCUAAGUUAUAAACUAUAACUACCCAAAAUGGUAAGAUGAAAUAAACACUUUUUGUUCUAAUUGCCUUUGGUCAGUAUUUUAUCACAACAACAGAAAGAAAACUAGGGUAGUAGUUGAAAAGCCAACUCAUUCGUCCUCUGGUGCAAAUAAAUUACACAUUGUGUAGUUUACACAGAAAGAAAGGAAAACAGAAGGGUUCUACUAAUUAAAAGAAAAACCAGCUAAAAUACUAGUAUCUAUGCCCACCAUUACCAGCAUACAGAUGGCUAACUAUGUUCUUUCUUGUGACCAAGGAUUCUAGACAACAUUCAUCAACAAAAAACAUUUCCCCAAAUGGAAGGAGCCAUUUUUUUCCCCGAUAAACCCUUCUCUAUCAUAAUGUUUUUUCUUCUUUAUUCCUCAACUCGGUGAAUGUUAAUUGCAGGCAUCUUUUGCUAUCUUUCUCUAUUUCUUUCACUAUUAAUGAUGUGCCAAAUAUUAUAUAAACCUAAGUGCUCCUCUUGGAUGGAGUGGCAGGUAGAGGAGGAAGAACAAGAAUAUCAGUUCCCAUCCUGAAAGAGCAAUGUACAAAUUAUUGGACAGGUAGGCCAGUGUCAUGUCUCUCAUGCACCGCUCAAGUUAGGAAUAUAGUGGCUAAAGCAAUAUAAAUGAUUUUUAAAAUGUCAAACAUAGUAUAAAACAAAUUACAUUUUUCUCCAAAAUAGAAGUAAUCCUUAAGGUGAAAAAUGAUGUUUUCAGCAUUAGUUAACUAUAAAUAUUAACAUGGUUUAUUAAAACCUAAAAAUAAGUAAAAUCCUUUUAAGUAACUGUGCAUAGCUGAUUUUGAAGUUCUGAGCAUGCUUCAGUUGAAUCAAACAUUAUCUAAUAAAGGAAGGAGUAAACAAUAUAUACUGAGUGCAUAGACAGGAGGAAUAAGAUGGUUUGACAGGAGUUUUGUCUUCUUUAUGUUGUCUUGUACAAAUGGGGUGGGGGUACUUAACCAAAGUAUAGUGAACCAUCUGUACAUGCUGGAGGCUUUGUCUUUUAGGCUAAAAGUAAAGUAUUUGGGACAUUCAAUGAAGGUCCACAAAUCAUCAAAAUAAACCAAUAUUCAUAAGGAUUGACAUGAAAAGUGUAUCCUUAGCUACUUCAUUCUUAACAGCAGUAAUCUUAAUACAAUAUGAUUAGAACAAUAAUCAUAUUAGUCAGCUCUCCCUACUGUAAUAAGAUACAAGUUAAAGCAACCCCAAUUUGAAACUUCAAAUUCCAAAUGCUGUAAAAUCCUAAAUAUAUGUUGCUCAAAAUGUUUGGGUCUUACAGCAUUCCGAAUCUCAGAUACUCUAAUUAGAGACAUUUAACCAGUAUAGUUAAUACAAACAUUGCAAAAUGAAAACUACAAGUUAAAGCAUUUACUGUGGCCCUACGCUUUCCAGAAGGAAUCCUACUAGUUACUUCUUUAGUGGCUAUAACAAAACACCAGCCCAAUGCAACUAGAUAGGAAAGGGUUGAAGUAAUGCCAGCAGGAGACUGAAGAAGCUGGCGGACUUGGAUCCUCAGACAGGAAGCACAGGAUGAUGAAUCCCAGUUUUUGGUUCCCUUUGUCCUUUGUUUUUCAGCCCAGGAACCACUCCAUGGGACAGUGCCACUCCCAGUCAAGGUGACUCUUCCAUUUCCCUAACCUAAUCUAGACAAUGCUCACAGGCAUGUGCAGAUACUAACUAAUGUAGAUGAUUGCACACAUGCAUAUGGUCCACUCUAAGUCCUGUCAUGCUAACAACCAAGAUAAUCUGACAGGGAUGUUCAACUUGUUAGACUGGUUGCUUGAAUAACAACCAAAACCACAUACAUAUUUUCUUAGACUCCUGGUGGUAGGUAUCCAAACUCUGUGUGCCAGCAAGGUGCAAAUUAUGAGGUCCUCUGGCUUCUAGAUAGCUGUUAUCAUCUGUCCUCACACGGCAAGGAGAGAACAAGCGCAGGCUUUGUGGUAUCUCUUCUUAUAAAGUCUCUAGUCUCAUAAGGGCUCCAGCUUCAUGACUUCCUCCUACUAUAACUACCUCCAACAACACCAUCUCUAAAUGACAUCAAAUCGAGGGCUCAUUCCUUAACAGUAAUUGAGGGAAGAGUAGACAAGAUUGAGUCCAUAACUGCAAAUGACAUUGGACUGGCAUGGAAAGUCAUCCUGAGCACUUGGCAAUGCAUGGAAAUUGAUUAUCAACAUUAAUUUCUGUUCAUAAAGCAUGAUAUUAUAAAAGAAAGAGCCACAAAACAUUAGAUUAGCAGGACCCGAGUCUCCUCCUGAGGACAGAUGAAGAGGAAAUUUCCUUCUGGUUCCUCUAUCUAGGAAAGGUAUUAGAUAAGUAAUGCUCAUAAACCAUCGAGCUCUUUUUUAACAUGGCCACCUUACUGCAUAGGUUAUGGGUUUGAAAUGACGGAAAAGUAACACACUGUUGAUUAUAAACAAAUUACAUAAAAUACAAAAAUUACCCUUCUGAGAAACAGUAACAAUUUGUUACUUAAGACAUAAAGGUAAAUUUUCCCACCUGCUCUACACUUUUUUUUACAGGCCAAACCUAGCAGGAAUCUCUAAUUAUCAUAGCAGUGGGAUGGCUUAACAAGGGUGUCACUGGCUCAAAAAUGCAAUUUGAUUCUCAGCAUGACAGCAAGAAUGGCAAUUUACAACCUCCAGCCAGUAUGUAUGAAUAUUAAGAUUUUGAUAAUUUACACAAUAGAGAGCUUAUUGCUCUUGGACUGGUUGGAACAUCAGAAAGAGAUCUUUUUAGGGCCCUUACAUUAACACUACAUUUAUUACCUUGUGCUACAUUUCAGGUACAAAAAUUCAUAGUAGUCCAUCGAUACUGGGGCAUCCUUGUUACUAUAGCUUCUGUGUUCACACUAGGGUCAUAGUUUGCUUAAAUAAAUAUCCUGAACUAAAAAAAAAAAAUCAAGUCAUUGGGCAAAUGCCCAAAUUACAAAUAGUAUUGUGAGUAUUGUGUUAUAUAUGUUUAAAUUUCACCAUCAUAACAAUGACUUUUAUAAAAACACAAAACAUAAUUCCUUCUAUUUGAGGUUUAAGAACAAGCAAAAUUAAUCUAUAGUGAGAUGUCAAAAGUAAUUAUGAACACUGAAAUUUGAAACUUUUUGAAUGUUGGUUCAAAGAAUUUUGUAUUUUGGAGCAUUUGGAUUUCAGAUUUUCAAAUUAAGAAGGCUUAACUAGCAAAGUCUAUGGAGAUAUUCUAAAAGCCAAACUCCUUCUAAAUGUUAACUCUUACAGUCUUGAACACAAGGCACUGUCAGUUAGCAUUCAAUGAGUGAGAAGCUUCAUGAGUUAGAAAUAUUGUACAUCUCAAUAUAGAUGGUCAGAACAUGAGUAUAUGCAUGCAGAAAUAUCUCUAUAGGCAAGACUCACAAAUUUCAGUAUCUGCAAUUUUUAUCUUAAUAAAAAUGGACAAAAACACACACCAAAUGUUAGGUAACUUUCUAAUAAAAAUAAAGAAUAGAACAAAGAUGUUAGACAACUAUCUAAUAAAUAUACAACUCCCAUCAUCUUCCAUAAAACAAAAUUUUCAGUGGCAACUACACUUGAAUAAGUACCAAGUGUUUAUACCUUUAGUGGGUUUUAAAACCCAUCUCCUUGUGUAGCAGUGUUACAUAUUUUACAUCUCAAUGUGGCCACAACUCCUAAUCCUCCUGCCAAGAUCCCCACAUAAGCCAGCUAUUGAUAAAACAAUUGCCACUCCUGUAAGGAGUUUUAUUUAUUCUCUUUGCUUAUCAGCUUAAUACGUAGGAGAUAUACACUUGAAAAGGAUCAGGUUUUGCUGCAAACAGGACUAAAUGAUUAUGGAGUGGGCAUCUUAUAAUUGUGUUUUUGCUUUCCUUGGUUGUUUCUCAAGGACUAUGAAAGAAAUUGAACCAUAAAGCUUAACCUGACAUAAAGGUGUUAGCCUACAACAUUAAACCACACAGAUAAGCGAGACAGUUAUUUUAUGAGAAAAAAAGCACUGUUCCCCAUUAUCCUUUUGAGAUUUUAUAAAGGGACUAAAUAUGAUGCAUUUCUAAGUCAUGUAUCCCCUACUUCCUGUAUUUGUAAACAGGAGUAUGUUUUUGCUGCCCCUAAUUUGUCAAGAUCAGGUGAACAGAAUGGUUUUACAGAGCACAGGCUUCAUUCCUACAAGGGCUGUGCAGCCCUUCUGUGAUUAAUAAUUUAUGGUUCUUUCUUGGUUCACCUCAGGGGAAUCACUCAGAGGGCACCAUUCUUAUUGAGAGAAGUUAAAUACCCACACAAACAAACAAGCACAAGUCAAAUAAGAAGCCUCCUAUGAAUCUGGUCAUUCAUUGCCCAUCACAGAGUACCAACAAAGGUUAGCUAAUAAAAAAUGCUCGCCAGCCUAUUCUAGUACGAACACUGCAAGCUGAGCUGAGCCCACCCAUUUUAAAAUUUGUGCCUAUCACAUUAAUGCAGACAUUUUCUUUAACAUUAUUCAGAUACACUGUGCAUUGAAGUUGUAGGUGUUUAAGAGUGCUGCUGACUGAGUUAGUUCCUCGAACUAACAUUUCUGACAAGAAUAUGACACCUAAUCUUAGGCUCCAACAUUGCAUAUUCUCUUCAAGGAGAUACGAAUGGAUCCAAAUAUCUUUAUCACUGAGAAGAAACAAGUUUUCAGGAAAUGGAAUAUCGUGUUUGAUGAACCUCCCCAAUAAGUAAAGAACCACUGGGUGAAAUUCAGUAGAGAAUAAACAAUGAAUUUCAUCUCAAGUAAUGGGAUCAGAAGCCUAUAUGAGAAGUCCAGCAAGAGAUGUAGUAGGGCAGACUUUAUGUCCUAUGACUACUUAUCCUGUUUAAAGGAAAUUUUAAAAACAAGACAAAACCAACACAAAGCAAAAUAUGCGUAAGUCAAACACACACAUGUUGAGUAACCAACUUCAGAACUGUAACAUAUAUCAGAAGUCUUUAUUCUAAGGCAAAAGGAAUCAGAAAAUAAUACACAUCCCCUGAGUAAAAGAUAUUUCAUUUAUAUUACAAAACAUAUAUUUUAAAAGUACAUUUGACAUUUUUUAGAAUAUGUGCCAAAUAGUUACAAGUGAAUUUUAAACUUUCCAAAAUUCAGUAAAACUAUCUUGUUCUAGCUAAAAUAACACCUGUUCAACGGGCGAUGGAGUUGUUGGGUUUUUUUUAAUAUUUUAUCCUUUCUAGAGAUUUCCUGCAUGUAUACAAACACCCCAAAUUAACUGUGUCCCCACUUUGGGCUGUGCCUAUGAUGCUCUUAAACACUCAGUAGACAUUAGCACUCUACUUCCACAGUCUGUGCAAUGGGUCCUAUUCUUACUUCCCUAUUUCAGACAGGAACUCAAGCAAACACAGAAUGGUUAAGUGGUUUGCUCACUGAUCAACAGCCUGAAUAGGCAGUUGCUAUUCAACCUCAGUAGCCUGAUACAGAGCCGGUGCACUUGUGUCCUGACUCUCAUUGUCUAUUACACAAGAGCACUGCUCAUGUAAUUCCACAUGUGAGCAUUAUCACGUAAAGGGAGUUGUUUUCAUUUAUGAGUGGAAUAGAAGUUGUUUUCAAGGGGACACAUUUUUCCAUGAAAAGCAAAAACAAAAACAAAAAAUCAAAAUUUACCACCUAUAUCAGACCUCAAUUAUGCUUCCUGUGCCAUCCACCUAACAUACCAUGAAGGGGCACAGAAAGAAUAAACCUGGACACCAGCAAAAACAUGUGAAAUCUCUGAUAUCAGGAGAAAGAGAUAUCACAGGCUGAUGAAGAGCGGGAAGGCCAACUAGGAAGCAAAAGAAAUCAAUAACCUCAUGCUCUUUCUUUUUUCUAAUUACUUAAAAUGGAUAUCUCCAGAAUCUCUUGUUCCUUUAAAAUCCUAUCAAAUAAGGACUUUAUUUUUCUUUCUCUUUUAUUAAUAGGAUUAUCUUAAAAUAAGGAUAAAAAUUAAAAACUCUUUGAAAAUAUUAGAAUUUUCUCUUCUAAUAAUUUCAAUAAUAAAUGCUAUUGAUUCUUUUUUAAUUUUUUAUUAUAUAUUUCUUUACUUACAUUUCAAAGGUUAUUCCCCUUCCCGGUUUUCAGUUCAUAAGGCCCCCAUUCCUUCCCCUCACUCUCCCCCAUAUGGGUAUUCCUCCUAUAUCCCCCUUAUUGCCCUCUCCCAUAUUCCCCUGCACUGGUGGUCCAACCUUGGCAAGACCAAAGGAUUCCCCUUUCAUUGGUGCCCCAACAAGGCUAUUCUGUGCUACAUAUGCAGUUGGGGCCCUGGGUCAGUCCAUGUAUGGUCUUUCAGUAGUAGUUUAGUCCCCGGAAGCUCUGGUUGGUUGGCAUUGUUGUUUUUAUGGGGUUGCAAGCUCCUUCAACUCUUUCAAUACUUCCUCUAAUUACCCCCAACGGGGUCCUAUUCUCAGUUUGGUGAUUUACUGCUAGCAUUGACCUUUGUAUUGGACAUGCUCUGGAUGUGUCUCUCAGGAGAGAUCUAUAUCCAGUCCCUUUCUGCAUCCAUUUUUUAGCUUCAUCAAUCUUAUCUAGUUUUGGUGGCUGUAUAUAUAUGGGCCACAUGUGUGUCAGACUCUGAACGGCCAUUCCUUGAGUCACUGCUCUAAACUUUGCUUCCAUAUCCCCUCCUAUGAAUAUUUUCCCCCUUUUAAGAAGGAGUGGGAGCAUCUGCAUCUUGGUCAUCCUUCUUCUUCAGCUUCCUGUGGUCUGUAGAUUGCAUCUUGGGUAAUUUGAGCUUUUUUUGGCUAAUAUCCAUUUAUCAAUGAGUGCAUACCAAGUGUGUUUUUCUGUGAUUGAGUUACCUCACUCAGGAUGAUAUUUUCUAGUUCAUUCCAUUUGCCUAUGAAUUUCAUGAAGUCAAUGUUUUUGAUAGCUGAGUAGUACUCCAUUGUGUAGAUGUACCACAUUUUUUUAAUCCAUUUCUCUGUUGAAGGGCAUCUGGGUUCUUUCCAGCUUCUGGCUAUUAUAAAUAAGGCUGCUAUGAACAUAGUGGAGCAUGUGUCUUUGUUGUAUGUUGGAGCAUCUUUUGGGUAUAUGCACAAGAGAGGUAUAGCUGGGUCCUCAGGUAGUGUAAUGUCCAAUUUUCUGAGGAACAUCCAUACUGAUUUCCAGAGUGGUUGUACCAGUUUGCAAUCCUACCAUCAAUGGAGGAGUGUUCUUCUUCCUCCACAUCCUCCACCUCCACAUCCCCACAUCUCCACAUCCAGCAUCUGCUGUCACCUGGGUUUUUUAUCUUAGCCAUUCUGACUGGUGUGAGGUGGAAUCUCAGGGUUCUUUUGAUUUGCAUUUCCCUGAUGACUAAGGAUGUUGAACAUUUCUUUAGGUGUUUCUCAGCCAUUCGAUAAUCCUCAGCUGAGAAUGUUUUGUUUAGCUCUGUACCCCAUUUUUAACAGGGUGAUUUGGAUCUCUGCAGUCUAACUUCUUGAGUUCUUUGUAUAUUUUGGAUAUUAGCCCUCUAUCUGAUGUAGGAUUGGUAAAGAUCUUUUCCCAAUCUGUUGGUUGCUGUUUUGUCCUAAGAACAGUGUCUUUUGCUUUACAAAAGCUUUGCAGUUUUAUGAGGUCCAUUUUUGUUGAUUCUUGAUCUUAGAGCAUAAGCCAUUGGUGUUUUGUUCAGGAAAUUUUCCCCAGUGCCCAUGUGUUCCAGAUGCUUCCCCACUUUGUUUUCCUAUUAGUUUGUGUGUAUCUGGUUUGAUGUGAAGGUCCUUGAUCCGCUUGGACUUAAGCUUUGUUCAUUGUGAUAAGAAUUGAUCAAUUUGCAUUCUUCUACAUGCUGACCUCCAGUUGAACCAGCACCAUUUGUUGAAAAUAUUAUUUUUCUUCCACUGGAUGGUUUUAACUCCUUUGUCAAAGAUCAAGUGGCUAUAGGUGUGUGGGUUCAUUUCUGGGUCUUCAAUUCUGUUCCACUGAUCUACCUGCCUGUCUCUGUACCAAUAACAUACAGGUUUUAUGACUAUUGCUCUGUAAUACUGCUUUAAGUCAGGGAUGGUGAUUCUCCCAGAAGUUCUUUUAUUGUUGAGGAUAGUUUAUGCUAUCCUGGGUUCUUGUUAUUCCAAAUACAUUUGAAAAUUGCUCAUUCUAUCUCUAUAAAGAAUUGAGUAGGGGUUGGGGAUUUAGCUCAGUAGUAGAGUGCUUGCCUAGCUAGUGCAAGGUCCUGGGUUUGGUCCCCAGCUCCGAAAAAAAAAAGGAAGAAAAAAAAAAAAAGAAUUGAGUAGGAAUUUUGAUGGGGAUUGCAUUGAAUCUGUAGAUUGCUUUUGGCAAAAGGGCCAUUUUUACUAUAUUAAUCCUGCCAAUCCAUGAGCAUGGGAGAUCUUUCCAUCUUCUGAGGUCUUCCUCAAUUUCUUUCUCCAGAGAUUUGAAGUUCUUGUCAUACAAAUCUUUCACUUACUUGGUUAAAGUCACACCAAGAUAUUUUAUGUUAUUUGAGACUAUUGUGAAGGGUGUCAUUUCCUUAAUUUCUUUCUCAGCCUGUUUAUCCUUUGAGUAGAGGAAGGCUACUGAUUUAUUUGAGUUAAUUUUAUAUCCCGACACUUUGCUGAAGUUAUUUAUCAGGUUAAGUAGUUCUCUGAUGGAACUUUUGGGGUCGCUCAAGUACAAUAUCAUAGCAUCAGCAAAUAAUGAUAUUUUGAUUUCUUCCCUCCCAAUUUGUAUCCUUUUGACCUCAUUUUGCUGUCUGAUUGCUCUGGCUAGGACUUGAGUACUAUAUUGAAUAAGUAGGGAGAGAUUGGCAGCCUUGUCUAGUCCCUGAUUUUAGUGGGAUUGCCUCAAGUUUCUCUCCAUUUAGUUUGAUGUUAGCUACUGGUUUGCUGUAUAUUGCUUUUACUAUGUUUAGAUAUGGGCCUUGAAUUCCUGAUCCUUCCAGGACUUUUAUCAUGAAGGGUUGUUGAAUUUUGUCAAAUGCUUUCUCAGCAUCUAAUAAAAUGACCAUGUUGUUCUUAUUUUUGAGUUUAUUUAUAUAGUUGAUUACAUUGAUGAAUUUUCAUAUAUUAAACCAUCCCUGAAUCCCUGAGAUGAAGGAUCAUAAUGGAUGAUCAUUUUGAUAUGUUCUUGGAUUCGGUUUGCAAGAAUUAUAUUGAGUAUUUUUGCGUUAAUAUUCAUAAGGGAAAUUGGUCUCAAGUUCUCUUUCUUAUUUGGGUCUUUGUGUGGUUUUGGUAGAAGAGUAAUUGUGGCUUCAUAGAAGGAAUUUCAUUGAGCUCUGUCUGUUUCAAUUUUGUGGAAUAGUUUGGAUAGUAUUGGUAUGAGUUCUUCUAUGAAGGUCUGAUAGAAUUCUGCACUGAACCCAUCUAGACCUGGGCUCUUUUUGGUUGGGAGACUUUAAUAACUGCUUCUAUUUCUUUAGGAGUUAUGGGGUUGUUUAGAUGAUUUAUUUGUUGCUGAUUUAACUUUGGUACCUGGUAUCUGUCUAGAAAAAUUGCCCAUUUCCUCCAGAUUUUCCAGUUUUGUUGAAUAUAGGCUUUUGUAGCUGAUGAUUUUUUUCAACUUCCUCAGAUUCUGUUAUUCUGUCUCCCUUUUCAUUUCUGAUUUUUUUAAUUUGGAUACACUCUCUUUGUCCUCUAAUUAGUCUGGCUAAGGGUUUAUCUAUCUUGUUGAUUUUCUCAAAGAACCAGCUCCUGCUUUUGUUGAUUCUUUGUAUAGUCUUUUUCAUUUCUACUUGGUUGAUUUCAGCUCUGAGUUUGAUUAUUUCCUACCUUCUACUCCUCUUGGGUUUAUUUAUUUCUUUUUGUUCUAGAGCUUUAAGGUAUGCUGUCAAGCUACUGACAUAUGCUCUCUCCUGUUUCUUUUUUCAGGCACUCAGAGCUAUGAGUUUUCCUCUUAGUACCACUUUCAUUGUGUCCAAUAAGUUUGGGAAUGUUGUAUCUUCAUUUUCAUUAAAUUCUAAGAAGUCUUUAAUUUCUUUCUUUAUUUCUUCCUUGACCAACUUGUCAUUGAGUAGAGCAUUGUUCAACUUCCAUGUAUAUGCAGGCUUUUGGUCAUUAUUGUUGUUAUUGAAGACCAGUCUUAGUGCGUGGUGGUCUGAUAGGAUACAUGGGAUUAUUUCUAUCUUCCUGUAUCUGUUGAUGCCUGUUUUGUGACCGAUUAUAUGGUCAAUUUUGGAGAAGAUUCCAUGAUGUACUGAGAAGAAGGUAUAUCCUUUUGUUUUAGGAUGGAAUGUUCUGUAAAUAUCUGUUAAGUCCAAUUGGUUCAUAACUUCUGUUAGUUUCUCCACAUCUCUGUUUAAUUUCUGUUUCCAUGAUCUGUCCAGUGAUGAAAGCGGGGUGUUGAAAUCUCCUACUAUUACCGUGUGAGGUGCAAUGUGUGCUUUGAGCUUUAGUAAGGUUUCUUUUAUGAAUGUAGGCGCCCUUGUAUUUGGAGCAUAGUUAUUUAGGAUUGAGAGUUCAUCUUGGUAGAUUUUUCCUUUGAUGAAUAUGAAGUGUCCUUCCUUACCUUCUUAAUGACUCUUGUUUGAAAAUCAAUUUUAUUUGAUAUUAGAAUGGCAACUCCAGCUUGUUUCUUCGGGCCAAGAAACAAUGCUUGGAAAAUUGUUUUCCAGGCAUUUACUCUGAGAUAGUGUCUGUCUUUGUCUCUGAGGUAUGUUUCCUGCAUGCAGCAAAAUGCUGGGUCCUCUUUACAUAUCCAGUCUGUUAGUCUAUGUCUUUUUAUUGGGGAAUUGAGUCCAUUGAUGUUGAGAGAUAUUAUGGAAUAGUGAUUGUCACUUCAUGUUAUUUUUGUUUUUAGAGGUGGAACUAUGUUUGUUUGUCUCUCUUUUGGUUUCAUUCCAAGGAAAUUAUGUUCUUGCUUUCUGUAUGGUGUAGUUUCUCUCCUUGUGUUGGAAUUUUCCAUCUAUUAUCCUUUGCUUUGUAGGGCUGGAUUUGUAGAAAGAUAUUGAGUAAAUUUGGUUUUGUCAUGGAAUAUCUUGGUUUCUCGUCUAUGUUAAUUGAAAGUUUUGCUGGAUACAGUAACUUGGGCUGGCAUUUGUGUUCUCUUAGGGUCUAUAUGACAUCUGUCCAGGAUCUUCUGGCUUUCAUAGUCUCUGGUGAGAAGUCUGGUAUAAUUCUUAUUGGUCUGCCUUUAUAUGUCACUUGACCUUUUUCCCUUACUGCUUUUAAUAUUUUCUUUGUUUUGUGCAUUUGGUUUUUUAACUAUUAUGUGACAGGAGGAAUUUCUCUUCUGGUCCAAUCUAUUUGGAGUUCUGUAGGCUUCUUGUAUGUUUAUGGGCAUCUCUUUCUUUAGGUUAGGGAAGUUUUCUUCUAUAAUUUUGUUGAAUAUAUUUACUGGCUCCUUAAGUUGGGAGUCUUCACUUUCUUCUAUACCUAUUAUCCUUAAGUUUGAUCUUCUCAUUGUGUCCUGGAUUUCCUGUAUGUGUUGGGUUAGGAGCUUUUUUACGUUUUACAUUAUCUUUGACAGUUGUGUCGAUGUUUUCUAUGGAAACUUCUGCCCCUGAGAUUCUCUCUUCUAUCUCUUGUAUUCUGUUGUUGAUGCUUGUAUCUACGGCUCCUAGUCUCUUCCUUUGGUUUUCUAUAUCCAGGGUUGUCUCCCUUUGUGCUUUCUUUAUUGUUUCUAUUUCCCUUUUCAAUUCCUCCACCUGUUCGGUUGUGUUUUCCUGUAAUUCUUUUAGUGAUUUUUGUGUUUCCUCUCUAAGGGCUUCUACUUGUUUACUUGUGCCUUCCUGUAUUUCUCUAAGGGAGUUCUUUAUGUCUUUCUUAAGGUCCUCCAUCAUUAUCAAAAACUGUGAUUUCAAAUCUAACUCUUGCUUUUCUGGUGUGUUUGGAUAUCCAGUAUUUUCUUUGGUGGGAGGAUUGGGCUCUGAUGAUGCCAAUCUAGGUUUCUGUUGAUUAGGUUCCUGUCCUUGCCUCUAGCCAUUGGGUCAUCUCUGGUGUUUGCUUGUCUUGCUGUUUCUGGAAGUGACUUGGCCCUCUGUCAGCAAUCAUGUAGAACUGUUUUCCUGUUUUCUUUCAGCCUUUCCUGAGAACAGGUGCUCUGCUCUCAGCUAUGGCGGUGCUCCUGGAGAAUGUUUUCCAGCUCUAGGCACAGGCAGGAAUCAAAGGGUCCUGCCCCUGAUUGCUCAUGUAGAUCCUUGCACCCAGCGGGCACAGUUAGCAGUAUGCAAUUCCCUCUUGGGUCUGGACUGUGGGCAGAGGGUAUUUUCCUUUGACUUCUCAGGAGUAUCCAUACUUCUGAGGUUCCAGCUUUCCCUCCCCGCCCCCACCCGUGGGAUUUGGGUGCAGGGAGCUGUUUGGCCAGAUCAGUUCGGUCCUGGGCACAGACCAGAACCACGAGUACUGGCGGCUGUCUGUUCCUAUAUCCCACUGUCCAGAGGCACUGUGCAGUUUCCCCUUGGACCAGGGAUGUGGGCUAAGGUGUGCAGAGGUAGCAUUCUGUCCUGUAGCCUCGGGAUGUCUGCACUCCUGGGUGGUCUGCUCUCCAAUGUAAUCCUAUGAUUACAAAAUGGCUCUUCAGAGAACUCAGUCUUGGCACUAAAUACCAUGCAUGCCUCAUACUACCACUUAUUCCUCUGUUCAUGUGUUAUUUCUUAUUAUGUGUUCUCACAAAAAUCAAAACUUUAAAAGUGAAUAGUUUUAUACUCUAUAUAUGAUAAAUAUAUUAUAAAUAAUAUUUUCAUAGGGACAUAAAAAGCUUCUUGAACAAAUGUCCUUGUUUAUCCAAAAUUGUAGGUAGAAGUGAAAAGCUAGAACAUUCUGGACAGGUAGUUAGAAAAAUAGUUUCCCAAUGUAUACUUAUUGCUUAAAAAAAGUAGCAAAGUGACCAAGAUGGUCUAAACUUGUCAUCUCCCCCAUGAAUGCCAGGACCAAGAAGCUAGCUGUACUGCUAGACCUCUUCCCAGCAUGGGCCUCCCUGUAAUUCUGCUCCAAUCGGCCCAUAUGCCAAGCUGACCAUCGGUCACACACACACGAAUGCCAGUGCCCUGGGAGUUGAUGCAAACAUAUUCAGUAUGACCUACCACUACAGCCCAGGAAGAGCUGAGAAACUGAGAGAGAACACAGCUAUGAACAGAGGAAGCCCCCCUCCCUAAGGUUCACAGUAAAUAUGUAAAAUACAAUCAUAAUCAAAUGCUUUAGCAUAAAAUAUUUUUCAGUUAAUUAAAAAUAGGAUGCUUAUAUCACCCCACCUAACAGAUUAGUAAGUAAACUUUUAUAUAAUUCCAAGUCAUGUUCCAAGAAAAGAAAAGUGGGCUUGAAGACAGUAAAAUAAAUAAUGUGGCUAAAUGCAUCCAUAAUUUUGUGUUUGACCAGUCUUCUCACUGCAUUUCCCAAAAUAAAAGAGGUUUGGAUAACAGCAGAAAGAUCCAGGUGUGCUUUAUCCCAUGAAAGAGUCAGAAGUCUUACUAUAAAAAAGUAACUUUGUUAUUGCACUGUCUUUCCAGAAUUUCUCAAGUUCAGUUGAGCACACCUAACUUUAUAUUGGGGGAAAGACAGGAGAGUUGGUUUUAGAUGAAGUCACACACAGUUCAGGUUGGUCCUGAACUCUGUUUGUGCUUCUAAUUGUUGAGGGUUGUGAUUACAGGUAUGAUCCACCGUGCUCAGGCCCAUAACAUAUUUAUUGUACAAUAACAUUUUUGGAACUAAUGUUUCAUAAAUAUUUGUUGAAAUGUAUUUGGUGUCUCCAAGUUAGUAGAUAUUUCUUUAUAUAUUGACUUAUUUUCUCCUAGAACAAGUAUUUAGGGUGUGAAAAGUUUCUGUCAAACAAACAGUCAAUAAAAAUACAACCUGUCAUCACUUAAGAGACAUGGAAAAGUACUCAGUCUCACUGAAGCAGCAGGAGAAGCUUCAGGUACUGUGGGUGGGAAACAUGAAAUAUUUUUUCUUAUUUUAGACACAGGGGUUAACUUUAUAGCCAUGGCUGUCCUGAAGCUUGUUAUAGAGACAACCUGGCCUUAGAUUCAUAGACAUUCUCCUGUCUCUGCCUUCCAAGUGCUUGGAUUAAAGGCAUGUGCCACCAUGACUGGCUGACAUCUUAUGAGCAAAUACCUGGGACUAUUACAUUUUUUAGUUGGCUUGUGUCUCCCUUCUGUAGUUCACAAGUAAAUAGGUAGCAGCAUUUUCAUGGACAGCUACGAUUCCAUAAGGUCAGAUUGAAAACCUGGUUUACUAUUGCUUUAUUUCCAAGACCAUUAUCCAGACAGCCUAUGAGAUCAGACAUUUUUUCCCUGUGCAGCUAAAUAAAAUAGUGGUUUCAGCAUAACAGACAUCAACUCAAAAUGGCUAAAUGCAGUAUUUUUUUUUUCAGUUUGUUGAUGAUGACUAUUCCCUGGCUAAGAGAUUGGGAUGUCUGACCAACUUAACCUUGUGCCAUUUAAAAGCCCACAGAUGCUUGAGUAACGUGGCAGUCUUACCUUUCUUUCAGAUCCUAUCUACCACCUUACAAUGUCCACCACUAAUGUAGUAGCGUCCUGUGUGGAGGAGGUUGCUGUCUACCCAAACACCCAUUCUAUAUUUGGGAGAAUCACCGCAGCAUGUCGUCAUGUGUAUAUUUGACACCAAGAAAUGGUUUCCUCAAGUAUUUCUUUGAGCAUUCUACAUGUGGACCUAUCUCUUACAAGCACAUGAGGGUAAUGACAUAAUCAAAUCUUAUUCUUCUAGUACCAAAAUAUGUACUACUAAUCAUUUUUGCCUUCAAUAAACUUUGAUUAUUGACAUGCAGAUCUUGCAAAAUAUUCAGAUCACUCUUUUGAAUCUGAGAUAUUACUCUCACAUGAGUCUUUAAUUGCAGUCUCCAUUGAAGAGCUACCUAUGGAGGUGUGUAGUGGGUGAGUCAUUCAAACAAGAGGCAAAGUGCCAAGGAGUCAGUUAACACAACUUGCUUAUGAAUCUUAAACAUGUACAUAUACUAUGGCCAUAACCUAAAUCUGUGCCUGCUUAACCUGUGCAGCCCAGAGAUAGAUACUGGACCAAUUUCAUAUCUUACACAGAGAGGAAAUAGGGAGCAGCAGUGGUCUUGCUGUCCAUAGCUUCACUCAGGUAAUCAUAAGAAUCCAGCAAAACGUAAGAGCCUUCAGAAAGGAGACGACACAUAAGGAGUACGCGUACACGCUGUUAAGUAUUUUACAACAUGCUUAAGGCAGCCUGCUUACACAUUCCUAACCUAUGGCAAAUGAGUGGGAAAGUUCCCUAGAGCAGUGACCAUUCCCAUUUAUUCAAAAUCAAAUUAAGUCAUUCCCAAGGAGACCUAAAAGGAUGCACUUACCUAUGACUAAACAAAGAAUAACUAAUGCACUUGAAAAUUGUACAAAAAUCAAGUUAAAAUUUAACCUUUGGUAUGUCAAAGUCAGUAACUUAUAUGGGAUUACAUAGUUCAACCUGAAAAUAUUUCCAUUUAUGACACACUGUAAUGUUAUACAUGUGGAAUUUGUUCAAUACUUUAAAUUUUCUAAGAGUUCCAAAGUAGUUUUCAUGUUGACUUAUUAUUGAAGGUGAACUUUUAGUCUUACAGGAAUUGUCCUUGGUUGAAUUUCCUAUGUCAGACCUGUAUUCAUGUUUAUAACUAGCAAAAUUUAGCAGCACAAUAAUUGCAUGAAUAAAGCGCUGGUUGAAUUUCUCAGUAGGCUUUUCAUCUUUGAAGCUUUGAAGUCAAAUCCUCAUAAACGUCAAUAUGUUCCUAUCAUGUCCACACCUGUCAUCUGCACCACAAGUCAGUGUAAUCUACAGAUAAAAAUGAGAAGAAAUUGAAAAUAUUUUAUGGCUGUUCUGCUUGAGGGAAUAAGAAUAAAGAAAAUCAAUAUUUCUUGUCAUUUCCUGAAAGUACUGUAUUCUCCAACACAUUUAGCUAGCAUUUUCCCAUUUAAGCAAGGACAAAGAUAUAAGAAGAAAGUUUUUAAUGCAGAAAAUUGAUGCAUCAAUAUUUCUGGGUCAUAGAAAUUGAAGUUGUAUCAAGCAUUAUUUCAAAAUCUAAGUUAAAUAUACUCUCAACGUUGAUUGCUCUCAGCACUAGUACCUACCACAAAAAAGAUUAAAAUAGAUUUAAAAUAUUAAAGAAUGAAGUCACAUUUAGAAUCCUAUUAUUGCCAUUGAAAUAUUACUAAAUUAAUAACCAUUCAAAUGUCAAGAUUUGACUUUAUAAAAUCAUAACUGCAAAGAUAUCUAAUAUUUUUACUUAUGCAGCAUGUUUUUCUCAUUCAUUGUUUUUCAAGCUCAAUGACAAUCUCUCUGUAGAUUGAUGGUAUUAUACAAGGGAAGGAAGACACAAGAUAAAGAAAGGCCAGUCACUGGACGAGAAGGAAGGCAGAUGGGGACAGAGGUAUCUAUGUAGAGAUACAUGGCAAGGAUUGUUUACUUCUGUCUCCAUGUUGCCUCUCUGCCUGUUCUUCUGCUUCUCCCUCUCCUUCUAAAACCUCUGUCCCCAUCUCCCAGAGAAUUUGUGGCUAGUAGAGAACUGCCGGGAGAGAUACUAACCACAGAUAAUUUAUAGUUAAUUCCAUAUGGCCCUCCGGUGUCAGAACUGACUCAAGGGACCAGCAUGGCAUGCUGGAAUGGCUUGUGGACUGCCUGGGUCUGACAGUACUUGGGGACAGCAUGGAGCUGCUGAGAUAAAAUUACCCUGCAGUGCCAUGUGGCCCUACGGGUGCUGGUACUAGUACGGAAUAAAAGGUUCAGGCAUUUUUUUUUUAAUAUUUACUGCAACAUCUCUCAAAAUCUUUUAUCUCUCCUUAAAUUUGUCCUUUGACAAUUUCAUGUGUAUAUGCAAAUUAAUACAUAUAUGUGUUAUGGAUAUAGAUAACAUACAUGUAUGAUCUAUUCUGAUUAAAAUCACCAUCACCUAUUCCCUCCUAUUCCUAAUGUCCCUCCUUCCUCCAAGUCUCUUUCUAGAUCCCCAUUUUUGUUUUAUUUUAAGCUUCACUGCAUUUUCCCAGAGGCAUCUUUGUGGCCAUAGGUUUAUCACUCGUCACUGGAGUAUCUGUAGACACCAGGAAACUAGAAAGGGUCUGUGGAGUUGAGGAUGCCUCGAGGGGUUGGAUAGCAGAACAUAAGUGAUAUAAAGAGCAAGAGGGUGAGUACUGUGAGAGAAGGGUUUAAGAGGGAAUGGGGGAUUGCACAUGGAGUAGUUGAGGAUGAAAGGAGGAUUGUCAAAAACGAGUAACAUUUCAAAGCCUACUACUGUGAAAGCCAACUAAAAACAAUGACCAUAGAGAGAUGAUAGCUCUCUUGGCUUGAAUAAUGAUAAACCUGAUAGCCAGCUGUCAAUAAAUAAAAAUCUCUUUUUGAAUUGUUGGUUAGAAAGUCCUCCAAAAGCUCCCAAAACAAUAUAGGAUCUUGCCAUUCUUCUUGGAAUCCCAUUAGAACUAGAUGAUUAAGACCCUAUUGCUGUUCAGAGUGCCUACAAAUAUCUAGCUUCCCUGCAAGAGAAUUACAGUCAAGUUACCCAGACCCUUGUGGACAUAGACACUUUAUGAGGGCAGUUCAAGUCCUUGAGUAGAUUGGGUCAGAGAUGGGCAAGAAGACUCUGACCAACCUGGAGACGUGUGAGAACUACCUACCAAAGUCUUCACCAAGAGAUUGCUGGCUUCUUGGGUUAGAUCAGGAGGCAUAGGAGCCCGGAUGACAAUCUCUUGGGCACAGCAAGAUAUAGCAAGUAGCAGAGACAGUGCCCAACCACUUACUCUAUCUCCUUCCACCUUGCAUCCACUUCCUGCUUCUGAGACAAUAUAUCCAGAUGCCUACUCAUCUGCCCCCAUUAUUGAUCAGGGUGAUUAGCCAGAGGGUAGGCACUCAAGUGCAGUUUAUUGGAUAAACAUUGGGGCCAAGGGCCUUAGAUCCCAAAUAAAAGAAAAUUUUCUAAAGAAAAAGAAAAGGGCCCUACUUCUGAUACAAUGUAUACAGAUACAGAAAUCAAACUGGAACAGAUCUAGAUUUAUCCCUACUGGCCAGCGUUCACAGUGGCAAAGGCACAGUGGAGGCUACUAGAGGGUAAAGGGUAUAUCAGUGACUUACCCAGAUGGAAACCCUAAAAUCUAUGAUACUAACCUUCCAGGCAAGGUGUGUGCCUACUGUUAUAACACAGGUACAAUUAUUAUAGGAGAAACCAAGUGUUUUAUGGUUGGUUAGUUUUGAGGCCCACUCUAAAGAAGGAACUCAUGACGGGUACUGAGUUCCAGUUUAAAAAUAUUAGUGGCUGAAUAAGUCUUCAGGCAUAUUAAGAGAAUUUAGUUCAGCUAAAAUUGACAUAGUGCCAUCUUUCCC